AAGGGGUUUUUUGUUUGGGGCCGGCCGCAUAGGCCGACCCACGCCAUCCGACAAAUGGGGCAGCGGCCACGGCCACAGCCAUGCCAAUGAUGGCGAACGGGGCAGCGAACCGACUGAAGGGGGUGGUGGCGGCGGUGGCUGGAUCCACCACCACCCGCAGUAUCUUCGGUGCGGCCGUGUGAACAGCGGCUUGUGCCGCAGCGGUCGGAGCGACGGUGGGUCUUCCGCUGCCCUCCGACAAGGGCGGCAGCCUGCUGCCCUCUCUACUAAUCUCUGGUGGUCGAGAAGAAUAGGGGCGGCCGUUCGGUGCAGAAAAACCACCCAGGUUUCUCACGAUUAGGGAGGAAGAUGGGAUUUCGGGUUCGGAUCCAAAUCCAAACCCAUUAGGCUAUCAGGUUUCUAAUUUCAGGUUUUGGAUUUAACCCAUUAAAUUUUGGAUCAGACCCGUUGACCCAAUUUUAUUUUAAACUAUUUUAUAAAUAACCCCCUGAAGAACAGUUUAUUAUAGAUAGAUUCUACAGUUUUCUGGCAGACUACAGAAAAACCCUUCUCUUAUCUAGGAUUUACGGUUUAAUCCUCUAUUAUUAAGCUUUUUGGUAAAAUCACGGUAUCUCUUUCGUUUUACAUCCGAUUUGAGCGAUUUUUAAACCAUUGGACUCGUAAUGAC
rnacentral:lncRNA from 1 species